AGGGCCCAGCAUAGGUGAGGCCUGCCGCUCACAGACAGCCAAAGCUAAAAGAUGCUCCAAAAUUGCCAGCAGCCAUGUGCAGACACAAUAACUUACAAGAUUAAGAUCAAUUUGGUUGCUGAUGGUUCUAAACAAAUCUAUACAGCUCUUUUAUUCCAAAAUAUAUCAUUUUAAAGACAAACAGUCUUAUCCUGUGUAACCCCCAAGGACAAACAAUUGUCAAACAUGCCUAUCAAAAUUUUAAAGCCCAACUUCUAAAACAGAAAGAGGGAGAACAGCUACCUCCACAAGCUCAAUUACAUCCUGUUACUUUCAUUUUAAAAUUCUUAAACCCACUUGUGGAAAGUAAAUGUGCUCCAUCAGAACUCCAUUAGUACAAGGACAAAUCUACGAUACGCCCUAGACACAAGAGUUGUAAAAGUAUGUUCUAACUAAAAGGUAAAAUGGCUCAAUACAAUUAAUAACGUGGGGAAAAAGUUUGCUUGUGUCUUAACAGAUAAUGGAAAAAUGCUGUGGCUGCCAUCCAGGAAGCUUGGAUUGCCUUUCGUCCAGGUCUGCUGCAGAGGAGCUCAAACCAAAUGACAUCUGAAGAUGUUGGAACCACAAGUCACAAUGAUCCAACUUCUACAAGCAAAUAAGAAGAAAGGGGAAUCUGUCAAGAGUCAUUCUACAUAAAUUUUUUGGGAAAAAUCUUUCCAUAACUAAAGUAUGACUAUAGCUGUCUAAGGCCCAUUACUGGAGAGCCAGUUAUGGCAUGUGGAAACAUAACUCUGUUUUGCCUCCAGUCACAAGUUGAGGCCUCAAUGGUCCCAUGAUACUGUGAUACUGUGAUACUCAAAGGCAAGUGUGCAUCAGCUGAAGACAUUCUGGUUCUUUGGGAACCGAGUAGUAAUUAAAAAAAAAAAAAAGAGAAAGAUUUCACCUAGGGGAAGGAUAAAUUCUUUAUUGGCCUGCUAUCUCAUCCCACCUACUAGUGUAAGAAUGCUUUCCUUGAGCUGAGGAUUUAACUCAGUUGUUUCACCUCCUGCUGCACAAGCAGAAGGACCCGAGUUCCCCGAUACCAAAAAAAAAAAAAAAGAAUGCUCUCCUUACCACCCUUAUCAA